CCUACGGGAGGCAGCAGUGAGGAAUAUUGGUCAAUGGACGCAAGUCUGAACCAGCCAUGCCGCGUGCAGGAAGACGGCUCUAUGAGUUGUAAACUGCUUUUGUACGAGGGUAAAUCCCGGUACGUGUAUCGGGUUGAAAGUGUCGUACGAAUAAGGAUAGCCUAACACCGUGCCAGCAGCGGCGGUAAUACGGAGGAUUCGAGCGUUAUCCGGAUUUAUUGGGUUUAAAGGGUGCGUAGGCGGGUCGUUAAGUUAGAGGUGAAAUCCCGGGGCUCAACUCCGGCACUGCCUCUGAUACUGUAGGGCUAGAGUUUAGUUGCGGUAGGCGGAAUGUAUGGUGUAGCGGUGAAAUGCAUAGAGAUCAUGCAGAACUCCGAUUGCGAAGGCAGCUUACCGAACUACAACUGACGUUGAGGCACGAAAGCGUGGGGAGCAAACAGGAUUAGAUACCCUUGUAGUC
rnacentral:rRNA from 1 species